rnacentral:tmRNA from 1 species
GGGGCUGUAUUUGGUUUCGACAUUUUAGAUAAAGAUUGAAUGCAAGUAAGUUAGUAUUUCUUUAAAAAAUACAAAAUUAAAAAUAAUCGGAGAAAAAUCUUACGGUUUUGCUCCAGCAUUUGCUUAAUUUAGUAAAUAGCUGAGCCUUCCUCUUAUACUUUAUCUGUGAGUAUAAAAAGGGAGUUAUAAAGCAGAUUAUAUUACUUAAAUGUCUAUUAUAAGUAAUGAAUGAUUAAUAGACUUUGCAUAGUAAACGGAAGUUGGAAAUCCAUAUUAUUAUGUAAGAAUAAAAACCAACUAAACUUGUAGAUGUUUAAUAGGUAUCUAUUAUGGACAGGAGUUCGACUCUCCUCAGCUCCACCA